AGAGUUUGAUCAUGGCUCAGAAUGAACGUUGGCGGCGUGGAUUAGGCAUGCAAGUCGAGCGCGAACCUCGCAAGAGGUAAGAGCGGCGAAAGGGAGAGUAACGCGUGGGUAUUUACCCUCGGGACUGGGAUAGCUGCGGGAAACUGCAGGUAAUACCAGAUGAUGUCCCCGGACCAAAGGUGUGAUUCCGCCUGAGGAUAAGCCCGCGUCCUAUUAGCUUGUUGGUGGGGUAAUGGCCUACCAAGGCAAUGAUGGGUACUGGGUGUGAGAGCACGACCCAGCUCACUGGGACUGAGACACUGCCCAGACACCUACGGGUGGCUGCAGUCGAGAAUCUUGCGCAAUGGUCGAAAGACUGACGCAGCGACGCCGCGUGCGGGAGGAAGCCCUUCGGGGUGUAAACCGCUGUUACUCGGGACGAACUUCUCGAUUCAUCGAGAUGACGGUACCGGGAGAA
rnacentral:rRNA from 1 species